CAGGGAGGUGGUGAAGCACUGUCCCUGGAAGUGUUCGGGAAAUAACUGGAUGUGGCACUUAGUGCUGUGGUUUAGUUAACACAGUGGUGUUGGAUCAAAGGUGUGAUCAGUGAUCUUGGGCAUAUUUUCCAAUCUAAUGAUUCUGUGAUUCAGUGAAUAUAGCAAGUCAGUCAGUCUACCCCCUCACGGGAAGGGGUGCAGAGCCCUUUCAGGGUACUUUCAGUCGUCCCUCUUUGCUGAAGCUGCAU